AAUAAGAUACCCUGGUAGUCCACGCCGUAAACGAUGAGUGCUAAGUGUUAGAGGGUUUCCGCCCUUUAGUGCUGCAGCUAACGCAUUAAGCACUCCGCCUGGGGAGUACGGCCGCAAGGCUGAAACUCAAAGGAAUUGACGGGGGCCCGCACAAGCGGUGGAGCAUGUGGUUUAAUUCGAAGCAACGCGAAGAACCUUACCAGGUCUUGACAUCCUCUGCCAACCCUAGAGAUAGGACGUUCCCCUUCGGGGGACAGAGUGACAGGUGGUGCAUGGUUGUCGUCAGCUCGUGUCGUGAGAUGUUGGGUUAAGUCCCGCAACGAGCGCAACCCUUGAUCUUAGUUGCCAGCAUUCAGUUGGGUCACUCUAAGGUGACUGCCGGUGACAAACCGGAGGAAGGUGGGGAUGACGUCAAAUCAUCAUGCCCCUUAUGACCUGGGCUACACACGUGCUACAAUGGAUGGUACAAAGAGCUGCGAACCCGCGAGGGUAAGCGAAUCUCAUAAAGCCAUUCUCAGUUCGGAUUGU
rnacentral:rRNA from 1 species